UAGCAGCAGAAUAAGUGAUCCAAUCCCUAAAAAUCUAAAAUAAACCUUCACGGAGGCCUGAAAGUGCAGACCCUCUACGCCAGAUACCGCAGGAAAGUGAGAUGAAUUCUGAUCAAAUCAUCUUCGCAACCCAAUCAAAUGAGCGAGAAGAGGUACUGGUGUGACACCUCAUAUCUGCAAAGGAGAUAACCACAAGAGGGCCUAUGGCA
rnacentral:lncRNA from 1 species